GUGCCUCCACUCACAUGUUGGGGGGCCGCAUAAUUAUUAUAAUUAUGCGGGCCCCCAACAUGUGAGUGGAAGCAC
rnacentral:miRNA from 1 species